AUUUAUAUAAUAUAAAAAUUAUAAUUGACUUCCAAUCAAAAAAUCUAAAUAUUUAGUAUAAAUA
rnacentral:tRNA from 1 species